GAACAAGUACACCAAGAUAAGUGCAGAAUGUCGUUCGAUGAUCCCCACAUGGAACUUUUCUUCUAUUCCAUUCAAGUGGAAUUUUUCUACCCUCCUGAAUUGCCUUCCCUACUGUUGCACAUACCGUGCGACCUCUGCGGUCCUCACGUUCAGCUCUAUUACCAUCAUCAUCAUACUCGGUAUCCGAGGUUGCAUUCUCUUGAGACAUUACAAGACAGUCAAGCUCUUCUGAGCGAGUAUGGGAGCGCGAAUUUAAAUGACUCAAUACCCCAGGAUAUUGUUAGUUGCAUCAAUGAUUUGCAAAAUAGGUUUGGCAGGUCAAAAUGAUGAACUACAGUGACUACCAAGGACUACAUCCUAAACUCUCAUAAACCAGUUUGCCAAAAUGUCAUUGAUGAUAUACAAUGUAAUGCAUUUCUCUCUUUCCACUUCA